rnacentral:rRNA from 1 species
CGGAGGAUCCAAGCGUUAUCCGGAAUCAUUGGGUUUAAAGGGUCCGUAGGCGGUUUAGUAAGUCAGUGGUGAAAGCCCAUCGCUCAACGGUGGAACGGCCAUUGAUACUGCUAGACUUGAAUUAUUAGGAAGUAACUAGAAUAUGUAGUGUAGCGGUGAAAUGCUUAGAGAUUACAUGGAAUACCAAUUGCGAAGGCAGGUUACUACUAAUGGAUUGACGCUGAUGGACGAAAGCGUGGGUAGCGAACAGGAUUAGAUACCCUGGUAGUCCACGCCGUAAACGAUGGAUACUAGCUGUUGGGAGCGAUCUCAGUGGCUAAGCGAAAGUGAUAAGUAUCCCACCUGGGGAGUACGCUCGCAAGAAUG